AACGAACGCUGGCGGCAUGCCUAACACAUGCAAGUCGAACGAGACCUUCGGGUCUAGUGGCGCACGGGUGCGUAACGCGUGGGAACCUGCCCUUAGGUUCGGAAUAACUCCCCGAAAGGGGUGCUAAUACCGGAUAAUGUCUUCGGACCAAAGAUUUAUCGCCUUUGGAUGGGCCCGCGUUGGAUUAGCUAGUUGGUAGGGUAAAAGCCUACCAAGGCGACGAUCCAUAGCUGGUCUGAGAGGAUGAUCAGCCACACUGGGACUGAGACACGGCCCAGACUCCUACGGGAGGCAGCAAUGGGGAAUAUUGGACCAUGGGCGAAAGCCUGAUCCAGCAAUGCCGCGUGAGUGAUGAAGGCCUUAGGGUUGUAAAGCUCUUUUACCCGGGAUGAUAAUGACAGUACCGGGAGAAUAAGCUCCGGCUAACUCCGUG
rnacentral:rRNA from 1 species